rnacentral:lncRNA from 1 species
AGGCGAAUUGCACGUGCGAGAAGUAAGCAUGCAAAUAGAGGAUAUGGAUGGGAAAGUUUUGAGUGGGAAGGAUAGUUUGGUCAUUUUACAAGAAGUUAUUGAAGGAGGAAGAAAAAAAAGAAAGGAAAAUGAAGAAAAAGAAAAUUAUGAGAAUUUUUUGGAAUUAAAGAAAAAAUGGAAGGAAAAUAAACAAAAGAAAGAAAAAAAUUUGGAUAUGAUGUGUAUAGCGAGUGGAAUUACAAUUUUAAUUUCAUUUUGGACUUUAAUUGUGUUUGGUUCAAGAAGUAAUGGUAGUUAUUUUACUUAGAAAUAUGGUGGGAAAAAAAAGA